UUUGGGAUUCUGGCUUUAAUGGUAGAGAUCUAACAGGGUCUGAGAGGUGGGACCCCGGCACUGCUACAGCACAGCCCUAGGCAAAACCUCAGGCACCAGCGAGGGGCGCUGUUGGUGAUACGGCACAGAGCGGAGGAGAUACGUGCCCGAAGUCACACAACUUGUGGGUUGGGCUUUGUGGGAUUUUGACUCUGAUGAGUCACUGGAGUGUUGAGAAUGCCCUGGUAAAUCAUUUCCAUGACUCAGUAUCACCACCUAUAAGUUAGGAGCAAGGAUACUGGCUGUAUAGCUUCCCUUAGGGUAGGAACUGUCUUAAAUGGCUCCUCCCACCUUAAGACGGUUGGUGGAUGGGACUGUCAUUUUUGAGGGAUGGUGUGGGUGUAGCCUUCCAGUGAGUUCAGGGCCCUGGCAUGGCUGAGGCAACACGGAGGAGCCAGGAGAAGCCUGUUGGGGACAGUGGUACAACCCCCCCUCCAAAAGAGGGGAGGAGGAAGCUGGAGAGGUGGAGCAGAUUUGGUGGAGAGAGACGUCACGGCACUGGGGUUCCCAGUGUCCUCUUCCCAGGGGCAGAGCAUGGCUGUGUGAAUGCCUGGAUGCCGGCCGGGACAGGGGAAGCUUCCCUUUGUAACAAAUGUGGACUCUGAUUUAGGAAGUAGUUUGAUUGACGGCAUAGUCAGGGCUGAGCCACAUUAAAUGCAAACAGGUGUGCACCUUCUUCCUGCCUGAGGACAGCCGUCCCCCGAACCCUCCGGAACCUGGCCCCUGCCUCGUUUCCUUCUCCAGGUUUCCCGGUGGCAGAGAGGCUCCCAGAUAUGUCUUCGUAUUCCUGCGGCACGGAAAGUGAUGCUGAAUGUGUUUCAGGCUCUCACUAAAUACUUCCUGGUAUAACUGGGACACAUUAGAGACGCACAGAGAGAAGACAGGAGGAGCGGGUGCGAAUGGCAGAUACAUCAAGAGAGGACUAAUGCCUCUUUCUUAAGAGAAUGGAGACACUCAUUAAUGUCAUCUGAAUUAAAAGACAUAAGUAAGGGGAAAACACCGGGAGGAAACAUGUUAAUGUGUUAAGAGUGAUGAUCUUUUUUUGGUGGGCUUAUGUGACUUCAAGUUUUUUCAUGUGUUUUCCAAAAUAUAGUCAAUAAAUAGUAUUCAAACUUAGAAAAAAAUUAUCUUAGGAUGACUGUAGUUAAUGUCAACAUAACUACUUGAAAACUGCUUUCAGCCUGAGUGGUUGGUUGUGUUUUUUUUUCCUUCGGCCUGGUAGGUUCUGGGGAAGAGCGCCUGGAUUCGGAUCCUGGCUCUUCCAUUUCCCAGCUACAUGACUAUGGGCAAGUUCAUUAACUUCUUUGUGCCUUUUUGUUUGUUUUAUAAAGUGAGGAAUCCUACAGUGCCUAAUUUGGGGUUAUUAAUCAGUUAAAUGAGAUGCUGCUUCUGGGGCACCUGACACAGAGUAAGCACACAAAUAUGUGAGCUGUUGAUAUUGUUGUGAUCUCAUGGGAAGGAAUGCGGUGAGUGGUUCCCGAGAUGUCUCAGAGGAGAGAACUUCUCGGACUAGCCUCAGCUGUGCCUCCCCCUGAGUUAGUAGCCUGUGACCCACGCAGAGACUUCAGGCAGAUGGGCCUCCCGUGGGGCAACAGUGGUGGCGAGGGUGACAAACCAAAACAGGCGAAGUGUUUUCUUCACUUCUUGGAAGGGAUUCAGAGAUCAGCUUCUUCAUGGACGCAGCAGCCUGACGUUAGGACACCGUGACUGACACCUGCAGGACGAAUGAUGUAGCUGUGUGUGAGCUGGCGUCCAGCGUGGGAAUCACUCAUAUACUCACUCACUCACGCACUCAU